UACGAGGGGGGCGAGCGUUGUUCGGAAUUAUUGGGCGUAAAGGGUGCGUAGGCGGUUUGGUAAGUCUUAUGUGAAAUCUAUGGGCUCAACUCAUAGUCUGCAUGAGAAACUGCCGGGCUUGAGUAUGGGAGAGGUGAGUGGAAUUCCUGGUGUAGCGGUGAAAUGCGUAGAUAUCAGGAGGAACACCUGCGGUGUAGACGGCUUACUGGACGGUAACUGACGCUGAGGCACGAAAGCGUGGGUAGCAAACAGG
rnacentral:rRNA from 1 species